AUACGAAGGUCCCAAGCGUUGUUCGGAUUUACUGGGCGUAAAGCGUCUGUAGGCGGCGUGGUAAGUCAGAUGUGAAAUCCCGGGGCUCAACCCCGGAACUGCAUCCGAUACUGCCAUGCUAGAGUAUUGGAGGGGAGUCUGGAAUUCUCGGUGUAGCAGUGAAAUGCGUAGAUAUCGAGAGGAACACUAGUGGCGAAGGCGAGACUCUGGACAAUUACUGACGCUGAGAGACGAAGGCCAGGGUAGCGAAAAGUAUUAGAAACCCUAGUAGUCC
rnacentral:rRNA from 1 species